GCAGGCUUGGUACGGACGACGGAGUUGUUGGUAGGAACGUGCGUCGGGUUGGAGGUCUUUCGGGGCUGAAGGCUCGUCGUGCUUACUACUCCCCUCUCUAGAAUCCUGCCGCUUUGGCCAUGGGUCGAUCCUCGACUGGCUGCCCUCGGGUUCCCAUCCUCUUCUGUCGAGUACGCUGGAUGAGUUAUUUUCUCCGGUCUCUGCUCGGUAGGGGGUUUACGGGAUGGUGCUCGGACGGCGAAAGUCUUAAUUUUCAUCUUCGGAUGAUUGUAACCUGCUUUAGACAGGGGGGCGCAGGCCCGGGACUUGCCAUAGACGCCACAUGUCUCCCAUAGGUUGCUGCCUUCGCUGCUGUCGCAUCCGUCUUUAUGAUGUGAGGUGUGGCUGUUGGCGGGGGUGGGCGCCGACCGGGUUAGCGAGUGUGUAGUCGGCAAGUACCAUGAGCAGGCAUGUUGGGACCCGAAAGAUGGUGAACUAUGCCUGGCCAGGAUGAAGCCAGAGGAAACUCUGGUGGAGGUCCGUAGCGAUUCUGACGUGCAAAUCGAUCGUCAGAGCUGGGUAUAGGGGCGAAAGACUAAUCGAACCAUCUAGUAGCUGGUUCCCUCCGAAGUUUCCCUCAGGAUAGCUGGAACUCGCUCCCAGAUGAAUUUCAUCCGGUAAAGCGAAUGAUUAGAGGUCUUGGGGACGAAACGUCCUCAACCUAUUCUCAAACUUUAAAUGGGUGAGAUGCCGAGCUUGCUUAAAAGCUGAAGCUUCGGCGAAGAAUCGGAGUUCCUAGUGGGCCACUUUUGGUAAGCAGAACUGGCGCUGUGGGAUGAACCAAACGUCGAGUUAAGGGGCCUAAACGAAUG
rnacentral:rRNA from 1 species